rnacentral:rRNA from 1 species
UACGUAGGGUGCGAGCGUUGUCCGGAUUUAUUGGGCGUAAAGGGCUCGUAGGCGGCGUGUCGCGUCGGGAGUGAAAGCCCGUUGCUUAACGGCGGGUUGGCUUUCGGUACGGGCAGUGCUGGAGUGCGGCAGGGGAGACUGGAAUUCCUGGUGUAGCGGUGGAAUGCGCAGAUAUCAGGAGGAACACCGAUGGCGAAGGCAGGUCUCUGGGCCACUACUGACGCUGAGAAGCGAAAGCAUGGGGAGCGAACAGG